rnacentral:misc_RNA from 1 species
AAGUCGUAACAAGGUUUCCGUAGGUGAACCUGCGGAAGGAUCAUUAAAAAUGAAGCCGGGAAACCGGUCCUUCUAACCCUUGAUUAUCUUAAUUUGUUGCUUUGGUGGGCCGCGCAAGCACCGGCUUCGGCUGGAUCGUGCCCGCCAGAGGACCACAACUCUGUAUCAAAUGUCGUCUGAGUACUAUAUAAUAGUUAAAACUUUCAACAACGGAUCUCUUGGUUCUG